ACCAAAGUAACCACAUCAGCUGACAUGAAAGUAAGCCUUUCUUCAGGAGUUAAAUGAAGUCAGUGUGUACAAGACCUAUUUUCAGGAGUUAAAUGAAGUCAGUCUGUACAAGACAGCUACAACUCACGUUGUACGAUCAUUGCCAUAGAAAAUUAGCUUCUUCAGUUUGCUGCCUCUUCUUUUACAAAUGCCAGCUCAGUUAAGAAGUGUCUGUGAGUUUAUAUCUGUGUAUAUAAUUCAUAGAGGAAUUACAUCUGGAGAUGCUGCCUACUGAAAUAGCUGACCUGCUUUUAUCCCCUGAAGGAUAUUCGUUCAACACAUCCCCUGAAAGAGAAAAAAAAAAAAAAAAAAAGUAUUUGCUUCCUCAUCAUAGUGUAAUACUUACAACAUGCAUAAAAACCUUGUUGUGCUGAACAAGGCCACUAAUGCAAGAGCAGUGAGAGAAUGUAAUAAAAAAAAAGAGACAGGGGAAAGAACUUUCUUGUCAGCCUCCUCACCACGAUGCAGGGAUGAGUCAGAGAGGACAGCCUGCCUCUGUCACAGGAAUGCAGAGUCCAGCUGGUGACUCUGACCUCAGCACUUGCAGUGUGCACAAAGAGAGGACACUCCCUAUGAACCCUGUGUCUCUUUAGCAUUUUGAAAGAACUCUGUCCUGAAAGCUGAGAGGAGAUCAGAACAUGCCUGACCCAGUAAAAUUGUAGUUACUGACACACAAGUACAGAUUUGAGAAUUUUUUGUCCAAGCAGCCUGUUAUGUAAAAAUGAAGGAAUUGGACCAGAGCAUCUUUGAAAGGUACAACAGAUAAGAUAAUCUCACACAUAUUUGAUAUCAAAUGAAUAAUUCACUGGUCAAAAAUGUAAUUACAACUGUGUAUACAUCAGAUUAUCAUAUGAUCCUAAAACAGUGUUCAAAUCAGAAUCCUUAAGGUAUGGAAAGGCACUGAGACCCGCAGGGGACACGGGGUCCUAGCAGAGACACUGCAAAGAUUUGCUUUUGGCCCAGCCAGUAGCACACAGAUCUUUUUUUUUUAUUUCAGAAAAGAAACAUCAUGUGGAUCUCUGCUCUUCUGAGGCUCAGUACCUGGAGGGGAACCAGAAGCAACGUGCCUGCUCUUUUGGCUGAGCACAGUUUCUGCUUGACAUCUCUUGGGUUUUUCCUUCAGGAGACUGACUUGAGGAAUGAGUCAUAAGUGUGGAGGUGGUAAGAAUUCAGAAAUCAUCUGCAUAAGGAAGAAAUGAGGUAAUUAUGCCUGCACUUUAGUCUUUACAGUGUACUGUAAAUCUGCAACAUUUGGCAGUGAAAGGAACUAAGUGUAUCACUAAAGUCUACCAUAACCAGCUGAAUUAUUAUUCAUACCUGGAAUGUUUUUUCAGGGCAAAAGAAGGUCAAGAAAUGGAUGAGGCAAGUGAAGGAAUGAUGCAUUUCCACAGGCUUUAUUAAGAACAAUUAAGUGAGUGAAGAAUGGCACUAUCCAUGCAGUGAAGACAAAAGUACAUUAGAGCACAUCUAUCUUUAUCCCAUCCAGUAAAAAAUCUGUGAGAAAGAUAAAGGUCCUAACCUCACAAGUCUCUGUUUCAGGUCAGCCUUCCAAGGCAUCACCCCCAGCACGCCUGGAACCCAGCCUAAUUCAAGAGCAGAAAGUUAAUUUGCUGCUGGCCUGGAAUCUUUAGAUGACCUGGGUUUCUCUGAAUGAGGCUGAGUGGAAUAAUAAUGGAGUUUCUGCCUCCUAACUUUGUAGUACAAAUUGGUGAAUAAUCAGAGAUUUUUCAGUGUUACCUUUAGAGAACCAAGAAACUACCUUCAAAAAUCUCCCACUAUAGGUAAGUAAUUUGAUUUGUCUUCCCCAUAAAUCAUUCUUUUUUAGAAUAUAAAAUUAAAGACUUUUUUUGACAUUUAUCUACUUUUACCUAGAAAAAGAAAAACAAAACUGAAAGGCACUUCUUUUAUGUUUGCUGUACUAAAACUUCACAUGUCUAAGUGAGAUGCAUACAAGCUUUACCUUAGUUUAAAAUAAAAAUAAUAAAAAUAAGAUAAAGAAAAUACAAAGCUUUUCUGGGAAGUGCUCUGGA